GAUGAACGCUGGCGGCGUGCCUAAUACAUGCAAGUCGAGCGAACGGACGAGAAGCUUGCUUCUCUGAUGUUAGCGGCGGACGGGUAAGUAACACGUGGAUAACCUACCUAUAAGACUGGGAUAACUUCGGGAAACCGGAGCUAAUACCGGAUAAUAUUUUGAACCGCAUGGUUCAAAAGUGAAAGACGGUCUUGCUGUCACUUAUAGAUGGAUCCGCGCUGCAUUAGCUAGUUGGUAAGGUAACGGCUUACCAAGGCAACGAUGCAUAGCCGACCUGAGAGGGUGAUCGGCCACACUGGAACUGAGACACGGUCCAGACUCCUACGGGAGGCAGCAGUAGGGAAUCUUCCGCAAUGGGCGAAAGCCUGACGGAGCAACGCCGCGUGAGUGAUGAAGGUCUUCGGAUCGUAAAACUCUGUUAUUAGGGAAGAACAUAUGUGUAAGUAACUGUGCACAUCUUGACGGUACCUAAUCAGAAAGCCACGGCUAACUACGUGCCAGCAGCCGCGGUAAUACGUAGGUGGCAAGCGUUAUCCGGAAUUAUUGGGCGUAAAGCGCGCGUAGGCGGUUUUUUAGUCUGAUGUGAAAGCCCACGGCUCAACCGUGGAGGGUCAUUGGAAACUGGAAAACUUGAGUGCAGAAGAGGAAAGUGGAAUUCCAUGUGUAGCGGUGAAAUGCGCAGAGAUAUGGAGGAACACCAGUGGCGAAGGCGACUUUCUGGUCUGUAACUGACGCUGAUGUGCGAAAGCGUGGGGAUCAAACAGGAUUAGAUACCCUGGUAGUCCACGCCGUAAACGAUGAGUGCUAAGUGUUAGGGGGUUUCCGCCCCUUAGUGCUGCAGCUAACGCAUUAAGCACUCCGCCUGGGGAGUACGACCGCAAGGUUGAAACUCAAAGGAAUUGACGGGGACCCGCACAAGCGGUGGAGCAUGUGGUUUAAUUCGAAGCAACGCGAAGAACCUUACCAAAUCUUGACAUCCUUUGACAACUCUAGAGAUAGAGCUUUCCCCUUCGGGGGACAAAGUGACAGGUGGUGCAUGGUUGUCGUCAGCUCGUGUCGUGAGAUGUUGGGUUAAGUCCCGCAACGAGCGCAACCCUUAAGCUUAGUUGCCAUCAUUAAGUUGGGCACUCUAAGUUGACUGCCGGUGACAAACCGGAGGAAGGUGGGGAUGACGUCAAAUCAUCAUGCCCCUUAUGAUUUGGGCUACACACGUGCUACAAUGGACAAUACAAAGGGCAGCGAAACCGCGAGGUCAAGCAAAUCCCAUAAAGUUGUUCUCAGUUCGGAUUGUAGUCUGCAACUCGACUACAUGAAGCUGGAAUCGCUAGUAAUCGUAGAUCAGCAUGCUACGGUGAAUACGUUCCCGGGUCU
rnacentral:rRNA from 1 species